AGAGUUUGAUCAUGGCUCAGAUUGAACGCUGGCGGCAGGCCUAACACAUGCAAGUCGAGCGGAAACGGCAGUAUUGAAGCUUCGGUGGAUUUACUGGACGUCGAGCGGCGGACGGGUGAGUAACGGCUGGGAACCUGCCCUGACGAGGGGGAUAACCGUUGGAAACGACGGCUAAUACCGCAUAAUGUCUUNANUUCNKUWMGAGYYRGGACCAAAGGUGGCCUCUACAUGUAAGCUAUCGCGUUGGGAUGGGCCCAGUUAGGAUUAGCUAGUUGGUAAGGUAAUGGCUUACCAAGGCAACGAUCCUUAGCUGGUUUGAGAGGAUGAUCAGCCACACUGGGACUGAGACACGGCCCAGACUCCUACGGGAGGCAGCAGUGGGGAAUAUUGCACAAUGGGGGAGACCCUGAUGCAGCCAUGCCGCGUGUGUGAAGAAGGCCUUCGGGUUGUAAAGCACUUUCAGCAGUGAGGAAGGUCGUGUACUUAAUACGUGCACGGCUUGACGUUAGCUGCAGAAGAAGCACCGGCUAACUCCGUGCCAGCAGCCGCGGUAAUACGGAGGGUGCGAGCGUUAAUCGGAAUUACUGGGCGUAAAGCGCAUGCAGGCGGUUUGUUAAGUCAGAUGUGAAAGCCCGGGGCUCAACCUCGGAACCGCAUUUGAAACUGGCAGGCUAGAGUCUUGUAGAGGGGGGUAGAAUUUCAGGUGUAGCGGUGAAAUGCGUAGAGAUCUGAAGGAAUACCAGUGGCGAAGGCGGCCCCCUGGACAAAGACUGACGCUCAGAUGCGAAAGCGUGGGUAGCAAACAGGAUUAGAUACCCUGGUAGUCCACGCCGUAAACGCUGUCUACUUGGAGGUUGAGGUUUUAGACUUUGGCUUUCGGCGCUAACGCAUUAAGUAGACCGCCUGGGGAGUACGGCCGCAAGGUUAAAACUCAAAUGAAUUGACGGGGGCCCGCACAAGCGGUGGAGCAUGUGGUUUAAUUCGAUGCAACGCGAAGAACCUUACCUACUCUUGACAUCCAGCGAAGCCUUUAGAGAUAGAGGYGUGCCUUCGGGAGCGCUGAGACAGGUGCUGCAUGGCUGUCGUCAGCUCGUGUUGUGAAAUGUUGGGUUAAGUCCCGCAACGAGCGCAACCCUUAUCCUUGUUUGCCAGCACRUAAUGGUGGGAACUCCAGGGAGACUGCCGGUGAUAAACCGGAGGAAGGUGGGGACGACGUCAAGUCAUCAUGGCCCUUACGAGUAGGGCUACACACGUGCUACAAUGGCAGAUACAGAGGGCAGCGAGACAGCGAUGUUUAGCGAAUCCCUUAAAGUUUGUCGUAGUCCGGAUUGGAGUCUGCAACUCGACUCCAUGAAGUCGGAAUCGCUAGUAAUCGUGGAUCAGAAUGCCACGGUGAAUACGUUCCCGGGCCUUGUACACACCGCCCGUCACACCAUGGGAGUGGGCUGCACCAGAAGUAGAUAGCUUAACCUUCGGGAGGGCGUUUACCACGGUGUGGUUCAUGACUGGGGUGAAGUCGUAACAAGGUAGCCCUAGGGGAACCUGGGGCUG
rnacentral:rRNA from 1 species